UUAACGAGUUUGACAUGGGUUGUAGCUGGCCUUCCGAGGCAUGUGCACGCCCUGCUCAUCCACUCUACACCUGUGCACUUACUGUGGGUUUCAGGCGCGUCGCGGGCUUCAAUGCCUGAGGCGUUUCUGGGCCUACGUUUCACUACAAACCAUUGAAGUAACAGAAUGUGUAUAAGAUGUUUUAACGCAUCAAUAAUACAACUUUCAGCAACGGAUCUCUUGGCUCUCGCAUCGAUGAAGAACGCAGCGAAAUGCGAUAAGUAAUGUGAAUUGCAGAAUUCAGUGAAUCAUCGAAUCUUUGAACGCACCUUGCGCUCCUUGGUAUUCCGAGGAGCAUGCCUGUUUGAGUGUCAUGAAAUUCUCAACCUACAAAGCUUUUGUUGGUUCUGUAGUGUUGGACUAUGGAGGCCUUUGCCGGCUGCUUGCAGUGGGCUCCUCUCAAAUGCAUUAGCUUGAUUCCUUGCGGAUCGGCUCUCGGUGUGAUAAUGUCUACGCCGCGACCGUGAAGCGUUUGGCGAGCUUACAGUCGUCUCGUUGGAGACAGCUUCAUUGACCUCUGACCUCAAAUCAGGUAGGACUACCCGCUGAA
rnacentral:rRNA from 1 species